AAAAAAAAGGAAGAUAGAAAAGAAACAGAAUGAAACGAAACGAAACAGAGAGCAGGGGAGAAAAAGAAAUAAAGGGCGAAAAGGAAAAAUCGAAGGUUUGAAGCUUUAAGCUUUAAUAGGUAAGUCAAUCAAACCCUUUUUACUUAAUUUUGAUGUUUUAGAAGUUUCAAAACAAAGUUUUGAUGAAAUUAAGUUGAUAUUUUGAAAGUUUUUAGAUUUCUAAAUAUUAUCCAUGUUAAAUAAAAUGAUGAAUUAAGGGCUAAAUUGAUAGAAAUUCAAGUUAGAAAUGAUAUAAGGAUUGAAUUGUAAAGUGAUUCAUAAGUUUUAUGCUUUAAGGACUAAAUUGAAAGAAUUUCGAAAUUAUGGUCUUAUGAUGAAAAAUAGAUAAUUAUGUUUAAGUUUGGUUAAAAAAUGAGUAGAAGUAAAGUAUAAAUUAAGAUAGAAAAGCAAGUGAAUUUAGUUAGGAUUAAAUUGAAAUUAAAAGUAGAAAAUCAACAUUUUGCACUAAGACUAUUUUGGACAGCAGCAGUAGUCUAAGUUUGAAAAAUCAUCAAAAAUUGUAUAAAUUUAAUUGGAGAAUGAAUAAAAUACGGAAUUAAAGCUUAUUGAGUCUAGUUUCUUAUAAAAGAAACGGUAUAAGCAAUUGAGUUGUAAAUUAUGAGAUAUAAUGAAUUUUGUGAGACAAGGUUAGAAUGAAUUUGGGUUCCCCUGUUCUGACUUUGGAAAAUCACCAAAAAUUGGAGAAAAAUAAUUAGAGGCUUAAAGUUAUAUGUUUAGAAUCCCUAAUGAGUCUAUUUUCAUGAGAAAUCAACGGUAAUAUUAUCCGAGUUUUUUACUAUGAGAUAAUUAAUUUUUAGUGAAGAAGGGUCGAAACUGUUAAACAGCAGAACAGGGGUAACUUUAAAGGAAUAAACUGUACUUAUUGGCUAAACCAAAAAUUCUAAAAAUUUUAUGGUGAGAAGAUAUAUGAGACUAGUUUUAGGAAAAAUUAGCGGAUUUUAAUUUGGAGUUUUAUAGCUCCAGAUAUAAAUAAUUUAGUGACUAUGACACAGAUGGACAGCUUGAAUAUCCAUAAAAGUAAAAAAUAAAAAUUAUAGAUAAUGUUACUUACAAGUGUGUUAUAUACAUUAAGGAUGUGGAAUGGAGAGGAGGAGGAGGAAAAUAUAUAUGAAUAUUCAGUUAGCAUGGCUAAUUUGCAUGUUUUAAGCUCAUGGACUAAAUUGAAUAAAAGUAAAAUUUUAGGGGACAAUUUUGUAAAAAUGUCAAAAAUGACUAAAUUGAAGGGAAUGAAUUGUUUUAUUAUCUAAAUUAAUGAAUUGAAUGAAAUUAUCAAUUUAAGAUUGGGUGAAAUUUGGAAAAAUGGUAAAUUACCAAUAUGCCCCUAAAUCUUGGUAUUUCUGCAAUUUAGUCAGGUAGGUUCGUAUAUCCUGAAUGAGCAUGUAAAUAUGACAGUUUAAGUAUUGUAUGGUAUUUUAUAUGAUAUUUUGAAUUGAAUAUACGAAAAGGAUGUUACAUGAAAUAUGAAAAUGAAUACUAAAUAAUAUAAAUUAAUUGAAAUUAUUCUGAAAAUCUCGGUAAUGCCUCGUUUAGGUGGGGAUUCAGUAAUCUCAUCUCACUGUUUCUUUCGGUUCCCAUGUUACUUACUUAAUACUAUGACUUCACUUCUCAAGCUAGUAUCUCGAUCGGUUCUUUUUCUUUAUACAAUGAAUCAAUUUAAAUUUCAAUAUCCCUUGUCAAGCUAACAUAUGAGAGAUUUGACCUAUAUUUUCUGAGCAUCACAAAUUUUCUGUAGCUUCGGAAGUGAAACCAAUCAAUUCAUUACUAUCUGAAUUCUUUCUAUAAUUUCAGAUACCCAAACAGAACGAGAACUCAGCUUCUCUUUUCCAAUUAGAUCUCAAAAUUUUCUUCCAACAUGCAACUUAAGAAAUACCUCAUCACUGACAGAAUACUCAAUAUACAUAAUUUCCAUCUGUUAAAACUGCUUUCAAUCUAUUUCAAUCUAAUCCGAUCACUUUCACUUUUCUUCGGUUUUAUAAAUCAAACAACUUUGCAUAUUCAUUUUCUCACAAUAUUAAAUCAAAUACUAUGAAAUUCUACAUUUACAAUCAUACAGAAUUUCAUACAAUACUGUAAACUAUUAUUAUAUAUCCCGAACUUCUUGUACUUAUUCUAGAAUCAGAAUAUAAACCAUGUAUUUCAAUCAGAAAUAAUAAAAAUUACUAUACCAUGAAUCUGACGAUCUCAGAAACCAAUAUUUCAGAUAAUUAUUAAGUAAGAAUUUCAUUCAUAUCGAAAUAAAUUAUACAGACUUUGCCUUAUCUUCGACGAUUGUUCAAAUAUCAUCUUUCUUUUUCACGGACAGAAAUAAUUCCAGUCCAAAACCAUAGAGAUUCUAUCCCAUUUCUAUUGUGGUAUCAUCACUACCCGAUAUAAACAUUUAUAUGCAAAUUCAAAGUAUUGCUUUUCUUUUCCCAGUCUUCAACACAUCUAUCUCAAAUCACUGUACAUCUUAUUCUUCCAGAAUGCAUAGACAUAGUACUAUUAUAAUUUCAUGCAAAUUCUCCUGUAUAAGUUCUGAAUCCUUUUUUUUAGCUUUUAUUUCUAAAUUGCAAAUAACCAUCAUAUUCAAUCCAAAAUGUUUAGUCAGAAAUCAUCUGUACACUAUACCCAUAUAAGAUCCCAAAAAUUUACUAUAAUAUACCUAGUUAUAAUAGCUAUAUUAAAAUAUUUUUGCAAUUUAUUCACCAAUCUAUUGACUAGUAUAGUCAUCAAUAAUUUCACAUUAUUUACUUCACUCAAAAAAAAAACUAAUUCAAAAGAAAUUUUCAGUUAACUAUUCUGUAAAUUACAUAUUUAAAUAAAUCGAUUUUCCCAUAAAUAACUUCUUUAUUUAACAGUGCUACUGUAUAUCUCAACUAGUUUAAGAAAAAUUUGAUAUCUCUAUUCAGAACCCAUCUUUACUUAUUAACUCAAUCUCAGUUCCGAUUGCAUUAUCAAUUGUUCAACCAUUGAGCUUUUCACUUUCCGCUUCUGAAUUUAAUCAAUAUAAAUCUCAUGAAUUUCAUUGCAUAUAACUGUAUUAGUAAAGGGGUAUAGAUCGUAAAGCCUCAUAAUUUAAUUUUCAUGUAUUUACUCAUAUACAUUUAUUAUUCUCAAGUAUUAUAAAACAUUUAUCCGUAUUUUUACGAGUUCUGCUUCAUCAUAACUAACAUUUUUACUCAGGGAUAAUCCUUUAUCUUGUAAAGAAAAUUGUUUACUUUUUAUUUAACAGGGGCCCAGUAAUCUAGAUAGAACACUUCGGAUAUACAGGACUUAUACAGAGGUGCAUUAUUAUGCACUAAUGAACAGAGAGCACUGAAGUGCUAUACAGAGAGCACAAAUGUGCUAAUCAGAGAGCACUGACGUGCUAAAUAUCAGAGAGCACAAAUGUGCUAAUCAGAGAGCACUGAUGUGCUAAUAUUCAGAGAGCACAAAUGUGCUAAUCAGAGAGCACUGACGUGCUAAAUAUCAGAGAGCACAAAUGUGCUAAUCAGAGAGCACUGACGUGCUAAAUAUCAGAGAGCACAAAUGUGCUAAUCAGAGAGCACUAAUGUACUAAUAUUCAGAGAGCAUGCUGAGGUCCCUUAACAUCCUAAUAGUUCUAAUAUUGUCUACUUGGGCAAAUUAUUUCAUACAUGCAUAUCACUUUUACAGCUUUCACAUAAUAUUUUUACAUGCUUUACAAUUUAAUCAUUGUACCAAUAAUUCAUAUACUUAUAUCGUUUGUAUCUUCAAUACAUGUAAUAUAUUUCAAAAAUCACUAUUCAUUCAUAAUUCUCUAAUAAUCCUUAUCACGUACUUCGUAUAUUACAUUUAUAUAUUUUGUAAUUUAGUCAUCAGCACAAUAUUUCAUAUAGUAAUAUAAUUUGCUUUUAA
rnacentral:lncRNA from 1 species